AAGAAUAUUAACAAUAGGGGUUUUACCAAUCGUGUUUGAAUUUAUUUAGUCGUUUUGAAACAUGACUAAUAAGAAUGCUUUUAUAUUGAUUUAAAUGUUUGUCUCAGUUAUAUUUAAAUAUAGAUAUCAAUUUAUAAAGAUCGAGUGCGUGUAAAAUUCCUACAAAUAAAGAUCAGCUUAGGUUAACACGUGUUUGACGUUUUCCUUGCUCGUUGCAUAGAACGCGUGCUAUCAAGCAAGAAAGUACACGUGUUCACACUGAUGGUCAGUAGGUCAAGGCUCACUGACUCUCACUGUAAAUCUUUUUCGUACCACCUCUUUACUCGAUCUUUUUGUUGACGUAAUAGACCUUGUGAUCUCUUUCUUUUAUGAGUUACACAAAUGUUUAGGUCAAUAACAUUCAAAUAUAAUGAAACACGUAACUAAAACUAUCUUAUGAUUUAAAUAUAAUUCAAGGAAUUUUUAUUUUAAAGUAUAAGAUAUAACUGGCAAGAUCAUGAUAUGAACGACAGGAUUUGCUAUUCAGUUUCAUACAUUUAAAAAAAAGUUAUGACUCAAAAUACAUGCUACAUGACAGAUCUAAUAAACUACAUUAUAGGCACAGUUCGUAAAUAUUAUCGAUGACUGAUUCUACGAAGAUAAAGAGCAUAAAAAAAAAUCAAGAGGCAUGCAAAUGUGUUGUAGCCAUAGUUGUAGACUAUGUACGUGUCAGUGUUUUAUCUAAUAUCUACUGUAUACCCCAUUCUAGAAUAUUUAUGAUUUAAAAUAUAUAUAAAAUUAAUUAGAUCCAUAUUUUAAAUCGUGCAAUCUAACUUUGUAAGAACCAUCUUCGUUAAUUAUAAUGUCUAUAAUGCAAUUUGUGUAAGUACGGUAGUCAAGUAGAUGAGGUCACGAGAUGAACCAACACAUCCUCACAUCAUUUGUUCAAAUGCUGCACACUGCUAUAUGGUAUCGAAAUACUAGCGUUAAUAAAACAAACAAUUUAAAUAUUCAACAAGAGACACUACUAAUACAGUAUUAGAGAAGAUUAUAGUCCUGAGGGGGGGGGGGGGGGAGAAAGACUGUGCCGCUGGUCAAUGUGUAGGCUACCCGGUCACGUGGCUUACUUACAAUUGACCAACCAGAGACAGGUCUACAUGAUAGGCUACAGCCUAUUGCAUCAUUAAGAAAAAUAGCGCCAGAACCAAACACCAUGACCAUCCCAUUCCAGUCAUAGUACUCAUAGAUCUACUUCAAGAUUGUGUUGAUUUGUGAUUAACUCGACUCUAUUCUAACAACUUUGGAAUGUGUGCGUCAAGCAAAGACUCUCGGAACCAAAGAGUGAAAGAAUGAUGGCAUCACUAUGAUCACUUCUUGCUGGAUCUGUCCAAGAGUCAAUGAGUACAGAUCUAUCCAGUGAAAACAGCAUUAAGAGAACAAUAGUAUGGAUUAUAACUUGGCUGGACUGGACAUGGCACAAACAGAAAAUAAAUGUAUUGAAUUUUCAAUCCAAAUUAUGGAUAUUAGAUUAUUCAAGUGAGUUACCCAAGUCUGUCAAAUAACUUAGAGAAAUUACUUGAACUUGGCACAUGUGAUGGCACAGAAAUCGUAAAAAAAGAAGGAUGAUGGCUUCAACUCUGAAGGAACAUCCCAAACAUGUAAAACAUUUUACAAACAAACCUAAUCAAAGUUUAUAAAUGUUUAAAAAAAGUAAGAUGCACAAGCAAAUUUAUUUACAUACUACAGAUAUUAGAACUAAUGACUAAUGGAAAAAAAAAAACUACCUAUCUAGACUUAACAACAAAGAAAUAAGUAAAUAUAAUAAUUUAAACAUGUGCUGGAUCUUGUUAGUUUAAUAACAUACUAUGUAAGUGCAUUACAUAAAACAUGUAGUGGUUCUUGGUUGUUGAUUACCGGUACUGUGCUUUUUUCAAAUACACAUUAGUUUUGACUGUGACUCUCGCCUCACCGUGGAACAUAUCCUCGUUGAUUGCCCCAGAUACCAGGAUGUCAGGGCGAAAUAUUUUAGAGUCACUAAUUUAAAUACACUAUUUGAUGGUGUUGACCCUGGGAAGGUACUGGACUUUAUCCGGGAAGUGGGGCUAUCUACGAAGAUCUGAUUUAUGAAUUUGUGAACAUGCACUAUUUACAUUAGAUUUUUACCAAAUAUUUAAAUUUUUACUACCUUUACUAUUUUAACUGAAUAGACCUUGAUUUUAAUGAUAUGACUGUAUAGAAUCUGGCCCUUGUUGUUUAGAGAGAGAGGGAUCCUUAGGGGACUGCAGGCACGACAUGGCCUAAAUUGUGCAGAUGUGCCUCAAAUCAAAAAUCAAAUCAAAUCAAUCACAUUAGUUUUGUCAUAUGUUAAUUAUAUAUAUUUAUGUUCACCAUUAAUUAUUUCGUUCAGCUAUAGCAACAUAAGGAAGGCAUGGUGGCUAAGUGGCUUCCAGACCCGAAUUAGAAUCUCAGUGAAAAUUGGGAUUUUUAAGACACCCUAACUCUGAUGGAUACUGGUACCUGAUUUUAGCUGGGGAAAGUAAAAACAGUUGUUUAGCUAGCUACAUGACACCCUGCUUGUUAACCAUUAGCCAAAGAAACUGAUGGCCUUAACAUCAUCUGCCCUAUAGAUGCUAAGUUUGAAAAGGGGAACUUUACUUUUAUUACAACAUAAGGUUAUAAGUUGUAAGUUACAGAUGAUGUACCAUAUGAGCAUCAUUGUUGUUUACUGGCUUUUGAACAGUAGCUUGAAACAUUUGCUCUUACUUACAUAGAAUAUUCACUGUUAAAAAAUUAUGAAUAUGAUAGUGCAGCUAGUUACUCUGCUCAAAAUUGAAAAAAAUAUUUUGUUGAAAUUAUAAACAUGAGCUACCGGUAUAUAUAAAUGUAUAGUUUUCAUUGUUGAGCACACACUUUUUCUUUGGUACUGGGUAACGUACAUGACCUAUAUUUUUUUGAAAUAUUAUCAUCUAAAAUUAGGCGAGGUCUUGAGAAUAUUUACCUCGAACAGACUCAGCUUUGGGUUUUUGUGCAUGUAGACCCUAUUGAUUAAAAAGCACCAGUCUCUAAUUAUAUUUUACUUGUUUAAAUUUAUAUAUUUAUGGUUAUUAAUUAUUCUUUGUAUUUAUUUUUUAAUUUUUUUUUUGUAAAGUAAGCACUGGUAUUUUUCUAAAAGUAUGUUUCACAUUUAUUUCAUUUUAAACAAAUUAAGUCAUUUACUUAAUGUUCAAUUAUGUUCUAAAUGUAUGUUUUUAAAAUUUCAGUGUUUAUAUUGCUAACAUUUCACAAACUUGUUACAGGUAGCUUAUUUUUGUUUUGGGUCAUUUUUUCUUUAGAACUACCGGUACAACAUAAUCUGAUGUUAAUUUUUUUUUAAUUUGUUUCAUGAUUGUCAAAACAGUUUGCUUUUCAAUUUACAUACAGCAGGCCCAUACUUUGUUUAGAUAAUUCUGAAUUACAUUCUAUAUAUAAUUUAUAGGUUUCUGUAUAGGCUAUUCAAGCUUUUGUACAUGUUAAAAUUUCAUAAAUUUGGUAGCCAUUAUAUUUUUUAAAAAAUUUUAUGGUAUAAUAAGUACUUAUUGUAUUUUUAAAAAUAUAAGCAUCCAUAUUUUAAAAACUUAUUUCUAAUUUGCCAUUUUAAGCAAUUUGUUAUUACAAUUAAUAUUUAAAUGAAUAUGCUUUUACUUAUUUCAGUGUACAUAUUGCUUACAUUCCACCAACUCAAUACUUUUUUUUGUUACUUUUAUUUUUUUAUAUUUUUUUUACAUAAUUACAAAAGCUAAGUUGUUGUUUUUUUGUUGUUGUUGUUGUUUUUAUGAUUGUCAAAACUGUUUGCUUUAAACAUAAUUUUUAUACAGCACUUAUACUUUCUGUAGAUGAUCCUGAAUUAUGUUCUUUAUAAAUUUGUUAUAGAUUUUCAUGUUAUCAUUCACAGCAUUGCUAACAUUAACAUUUUAUAAUGCAAUAAACUAUUAAUUUCAACUAGUAAAUUGUUUAUGUAAUUAUUUAUGUCAUUUUAUGCCAUUUCAGCUAGAGCUCAGUGUCAUUUCUUACUGGCCUCAUCUGGGCCCCUAACUGAACCCAGACUCAGCCCUAAGGGCACCCGUU